AGCUCCCUGUGCCGCGGCCUGAAAAGAGGCGUGGAGGUGUGCCGUUGGAGCAUGUGGUCGCAAAACGUCGCGAUGGAAGAAGGCCUUCUUCCCUCGAGAGGGAGCGAGAGAACGAUGACGAAUGGAAAAUAAGAGAGGCGCAGCCUCUAAUCCAAUUAGAUCGGAAUCCGGGGUUUAAUCAACACACCGAGACACACCGAGAGAUGUUCUGCUCGAAACCGAGUGGGUUCGUCCGCCAUAAUUGGCUGCCCCCGCGCGAUCCUAUCGAGAAAUCAAACACGAGAGAUUUUUUUUUCUUAUUUCACGGGCGGUGACUCCGCUGCGAGCUGUACCGUUACCAUCCAUCUUCCUCGAUCGAAAAUGCCUGCUCCGAUUGAUCCGCUUCCGAUCCACCACGCCGCGCCCCUUAUAUCGAUCCCCGGAUCUCUCCUCGUCGAAUACAGAAUGGAUUGUGCGAUCGAUCGAAUUUUGACUUCAUCUUUCGUCAACUGUCGCCGAGGAACUUGGCCGAUGUUAUCUUGGUCGAAGACAGUUACGUUGAUUGGUCGUUUCGGAAGGGAGGGGGAAUAUUUGUUCGAUUUUUCUCGAGAGAUAUGAUCGAAUACGAAAAAUAAAAAACUUGGAGGCGAUGAUUUCGAGUAGUACAAAAGUGACAUUCAUAUUUUUAUAUGUAUCGAUUGAAAAGAAAAGCAAGAGUCUGAUGAAUUAUUCGUUCAAAUUUCGAACGUUAAAAUAUUCACGUUUAAUAUUCGACGAACGUGAAACCCAAAUUCGAUUAACGAUUCGAACAAAUAUCUUCUCUUUUUGAUAUUCGAUAACGAUCGGGUCAACUCGAUCAUCAACCGUUUUGAAUUAAUUAUCCGUCAAAACGAAACACGAUACGGGAUAUAGGUUCGUACCGCGGCGGUUUGCAAUUUAAAGUAGCCGCGGGUUGCCGUGUGUGCGCGCGCAUGCGUGUUGCACACGUAUGCGCGCGCAACACAGCGAAUCCCAGAGGCCGCGUGUAAUUGGCCGAAGCGUCGAACGCUUGGCCCUCGAUUACGUAGCCGGAUCGGGGGCAAAAGGUGGUUAAAGCUGAUUUACUCGUUCCACGGCUACAUUCUGACACGCUCUUCUUUGCAUCAUAAUCGCACGCCGACGAAACGGGGACGGCCUAACAUUGUUCCAUCAACGACGGAACGAGCCCGCCAAUCUUCUAAAUUGAAACUCAGCUACUUCGAUCAAAAGUCUUGAAAAGUUUUAGCUUCGGAGGUUAUAAGUUACCUACGCCGUGUUAAAAGGCGUGGUACGACAGACUGUUGGGUUUAUUUUCAUUUGGAUUCGAAGGAAUAUUUCCCAACACAGAGCGGAAGCCUCGCGUGCCGGAUCGUUUCUCAAGCGAAUUUAGCAAUAUAUCUCGGCCCAAGUGCGUGGUGGACGGGCGGAGAAAUUAACAGUGCGAUAGAAAGGCGCGAUUAAAAGGCGACGCUUAAACUUUCGCGGAUAUAUAAUUCGACCCGUGUCAAGUAGGUUACAUUUAUCUAUGUUCAAUUAACCGUUUACCGGAAUACGUUCAACUCGUGGUUGAAGAAAUAUUCGAGAAAUUCGAUUCGUUGGCAUGGAAAUCAACAGAGUUCAACUAUCAUUUACUCGAACUCGUUGAACAAAUAUCUCGACGAGAAAGAAAAAAGGAGAUAAUAUUGGCCAAUCUUUCCGAUCGUUUCGCCAUUUUGAUGAUAUCUCUUGAAGCGAGAAUGAUGAAAAAUGAAAAAAAUAAAAUAGAUUUUUGUCAUCGUAAUGCAUCACAGAUAAAAAAGAUCUUCGAAAGAUUCGAUUUUCGUUGAUUGGAACGGAUUCGAUUUAUUUCAGUUCGAUAUGUUUCUAAUUUAUUCACAAUGUUAUUUUCGAUUUUUUUUUUUACUAAUCACUGAUUAAUUACACGUAGUAAAUUUUAAAUUUAGGAAUGGCUCGAAGAAUUUGAAUUAAUUUUUCGGAUCGGAUAAUUGUUAUACCGCGUUUUCGAAACGAAUAUUUUAGAAUUUGAAGUUUUUCGAUCUGUUAUCUAGUAUAGAAUAAAAGUUAAACAACGAAGACGAUUUCUACGCAAGCGUGUUGAUUGCACGUUGAACUUGGCGGAAUGAGAAUGACGCCUAAUAUCGGUUGCAACGAUGCACUGGACGUGCAUCUUCGGGUCAACGCGAUGUUAAUGACUUAUGUAAGUUACGUUGGUCUCGAGGGAAGAACAGGUUUGACGUAUGGACUUCAGAGAUGGAUGCAAGCGGAAAAUUGCUCGAUUCUGCGGAACGAACGUGAUUCCACAGUCUUUCCACAAUUUAUCUUCGAAACGUUGGAGAAAGAGAGAGUGGAUAACAUUAUAACGAAUUUACAAAAAGUAACGAUGAUCGAGCAACUUUCAAAAAAAAAAAAAAAGGAAAAAGGAAAAAAAAAU